UGCAAGUCGAACGGCAGCACGGGCUUCGGCCUGGUGGCGAGUGGCGAACGGGUGAGUAAUACAUCGGAACGUGCCCUGUAGUGGGGGAUAACUAGUCGAAAGAUUAGCUAAUACCGCAUACGACCUGAGGGUGAAAGCGGGGGACCGUAAGGCCUCGCGCUACAGGAGCGGCCGAUGUCUGAUUAGCUAGUUGGUGGGGUAAAAGCCUACCAAGGCGACGAUCAGUAGCUGGUCUGAGAGGACGAUCAGCCACACUGGGACUGAGACACGGCCCAGACUCCUACGGGAGGCAGCAGUGGGGAAUUUUGGACAAUGGGGGCAACCCUGAUCCAGCAAUGCCGCGUGUGUGAAGAAGGCCUUCGGGUUGUAAAGCACUUUUGUCCGGAAAGAAAUGGCUCUGGUUAAUACCCGGGGUCGAUGACGGUACCGGAAGAAUAAGCACCGGCUAACUACGUGCCAGCAGCCGCGGUAAUACGUAGGGUGCGAGCGUUAAUCGGAAUUACUGGGCGUAAAGCGUGCGCAGGCGGUUUUGUAAGACAGGCGUGAAAUCCCCGAGCUCAACUUGGGAAUGGCGCUUGUGACUGCAAGGCUAGAGUAUGUCAGAGGGGGGUAGAAUUCCACGUGUAGCAGUGAAAUGCGUAGAGAUGUGGAGGAAUACCGAUGGCGAAGGCAGCCCCCUGGGACGUCACUGACGCUCAUGCACGAAAGCGUGGGGAGCAAACAGGAUUAGAUACCCUGGUAGUCCACGCCCUAAACGAUGUCAACUAGUUGUUGGGGAUUCAUUUCUUCAGUAACGUAGCUAACGCGUGAAGUUGACCGCCUGGGGAGUACGGUCGCAAGAUUAAAACUCAAAGGAAUUGACGGGGACCCGCACAAGCGGUGGAUGAUGUGGAUUUA
rnacentral:rRNA from 1 species